rnacentral:rRNA from 1 species
GGUCAAGUGAAGAAGCGCAUACGGUGGAUGCCUUGGCAGUCAGAGGCGAUGAAAGACGUGGUAGCCUGCGAAAAGCUUCGGGGAGUCGGCAAACAGACUGUGAUCCGGAGAUGUCUGAAUGGGGGAACCCAGCCAUCACAAGAUGGUUAUCUUACACUGAAUACAUAGGUGUAAGAGGCGAACCAGGGGAACUGAAACAUCUAAGUACCCUGAGGAAAAGAAAUCAACCGAGAUUCCCUUAGUAGUGGCGAGCGAACGGGGACCAGCCCUUAAGUUGUAUUGAGAUUAGCGGAACGCUCUGGAAAGUGCGGCCAUAGUGGGUGAUAGCCCUGUACGCGAAAAUCCCUUUGCAAUGAAAUCGAGUAGGACGGGGCACGAGAAACCUUGUCUGAAUAUGGGGGGACCAUCCUCCAAGGCUAAAUACUACUGACUGACCGAUAGUGAACCAGUACCGUGAGGGAAAGGCGAAAAGAACCGCGGAGAGCGGAGUGAAAUAGAUCCUGAAACCGUAUGCGUACAAGCAGUGGGAGCCCACUUUGUUGGGUGACUGCGUACCUUUUGUAUAAUGGGUCAGCGACUUAUUUUCAGUGGCGAGCUUAACCGAAUAGGGGAGGCGUAGCGAAAGCGAGUCUUAAUAGGGCGUCUAGUCGCUGGGAAUAGACCCGAAACCGGGCGAUCUAUCCAUGGGCAGGUUGAAGGUUGGGUAACACUAACUGGAGGACCGAACCGACUACCGUUGAAAAGUUAGCGGAUGACCUGUGGAUCGGAGUGAAAGGCUAAUCAAGCUCGGAGAUAGCUGGUUCUCCUCGAAAGCUAUUUAGGUAGCGCCUCAUGUAUCACUGUAGGGGGUAGAGCACUGUUUCGGCUAGGGGGUCAUCCCGACUUACCAAACCGAUGCAAACUCCGAAUACCUACAAGUGCCGAGCAUGGGAGACACACGGCGGGUGCUAACGUCCGUCGUGAAAAGGGAAACAACCCAGACCGUCAGCUAAGGUCCCAAAGUCAUGGUUAAGUGGGAAACGAUGUGGGAAGGCUUAGACAGCUAGGAGGUUGGCUUAGAAGCAGCCACCCUUUAAAGAAAGCGUAAUAGCUCACUAGUCGAGUCGGCCUGCGCGGAAGAUGUAACGGGGCUCAAACCAUGCACCGAAGCUACGGGUAUCACCUUUGGUGAUGCGGUAGAGGAGCGUUCUGUAAGCCUGUGAAGGUGAGUUGAGAAGCUUGCUGGAGGUAUCAGAAGUGCGAAUGCUGACAUGAGUAACGACAAUGGGUGUGAAAAACACCCACGCCGAAAGACCAAGGUUUCCUGCGCAACGUUAAUCGACGCAGGGUUAGUCGGUCCCUAAGGCGAGGCUGAAAAGCGUAGUCGAUGGAAAACAGGUUAAUAUUCCUGUACUUCUGGUUAUUGCGAUGGAGGGACGGAGAAGGCUAGGCCAGCCUGGCGUUGGUAGUCCAGGUUUAAGGUGGUAGGCUGAGAUCUUAGGUAAAUCCGGGAUCUUAAGGCCGAGAGCUGAUGACGAGUGUUCUUUUAGAACAUGAAGUGGUUGAUGCCAUGCUUCCAAGAAAAGCUUCUAAGCUUCAGGUAACCAGGAACCGUACCCCAAACCGACACAGGUGGUUGGGUAGAGAAUACCAAGGCGCUUGAGAGAACUCGGGUGAAGGAACUAGGCAAAAUGGCACCGUAACUUCGGGAGAAGGUGCGCCGGUGAGGGUGAAGCAUUUACUGCGUAAGCCCACGCCGGUCGAAGAUACCAGGCCGCUGCGACUGUUUAUUAAAAACACAGCACUCUGCAAACACGAAAGUGGACGUAUAGGGUGUGACGCCUGCCCGGUGCCGGAAGGUUAAUUGAUGGGGUUAGCGCAAGCGAAGCUCUUGAUCGAAGCCCCGGUAAACGGCGGCCGUAACUAUAACGGUCCUAAUGUAGCGAAAUUCCUUGUCGGGUAAGUUCCGACCUGCACGAAUGGCGUAACGAUGGCGGCGCUGUCUCCACCCGAGACUCAGUGAAAUUGAAAUCGCUGUGAAGAUGCAGUGUAUCCGCGGCUAGACGGAAAGACCCCGUGAACCUUUACUAUAGCUUUGCACUGGACUUUGAAUUUGCUUGUGUAGGAUAGGUGGGAGGCUUUGAAGCGUGGACGCCAGUCUGCGUGGAGCCAACCUUGAAAUACCACCCUGGCAACUUUGAGGUUCUAACUCAGGUCCGUUAUCCGGAUCGAGGACAGUGUAUGGUGGGUAGUUUGACUGGGGCGGUCUCCUCCUAAAGAGUAACGGAGGAGUACGAAGGUGCGCUCAGACCGGUCGGAAAUCGGUCGUAGAGUAUAAAGGCAAAAGCGCGCUUGACUGCGAGACAGACACGUCGAGCAGGUACGAAAGUAGGUCUUAGUGAUCCGGUGGUUCUGUAUGGAAGGGCCAUCGCUCAACGGAUAAAAGGUACUCCGGGGAUAACAGGCUGAUACCGCCCAAGAGUUCAUAUCGACGGCGGUGUUUGGCACCUCGAUGUCGGCUCAUCACAUCCUGGGGCUGAAGCCGGUCCCAAGGGUAUGGCUGUUCGCCAUUUAAAGUGGUACGCGAGCUGGGUUUAGAACGUCGUGAGACAGUUCGGUCCCUAUCUGCCGUGGACGUUUGAGAUUUGAGAGGGGCUGCUCCUAGUACGAGAGGACCGGAGUGGACGAACCUCUGGUGUUCCGGUUGUCACGCCAGUGGCAUUGCCGGGUAGCUAUGUUCGGAAAAGAUAACCGCUGAAAGCAUCUAAGCGGGAAACUUGCCUCAAGAUGAGAUCUCACUGGAACCUAGAGUUCCCUGAAGGGCCGUCGAAGACUACGACGUUGAUAGGUUGGGUGUGUAAGCGCUGUGAGGCGUUGAGCUAACCAAUACUAAUUGCCCGUGAGGCUUGACCAU